AUUGAACGCUGGCGGCAGGCUUAACACAUGCAAGUCGAGCGAGCGGCGGACGGGUGAGUAAUGUCUGGGAAACUGCCUGAUGGAGGGGGAUAACUACUGGAAACGGUAGCUAAUACCGCAUACCAUCAGAUGAACCCAGAUGGGAUUAGCUAGUAGGUGGGGUAAGGGCUCACCUAGGCGACGAUCCCUAGCUGGUCUGAGAGGAUGACCAGCCACACGGGGACUGAGACACGGUCCAGACUCCUACGGGAGGCAGCAGUGGGGAAUAUUGCACAAUGGGCGCAAGCCUGAUGCAGCCAUGCCGCGUGUGUGAAGAAGGCCGUAGGGUUGUAAAGUACUUUCAGCGAGGAGGCGUUACCCGCAGAAGAAGCACCGGCUAACUCCGUGCCAGCAGCCGCGGGAAUAC
rnacentral:rRNA from 1 species